GAGACCUCAGGUCAGGCGGGACUACCCGCUGA
rnacentral:rRNA from 1 species